AUGCAUGUAUAAGUCCACACGGCUGGAAAAGUGAAACUGCGAAUGGCUCAUUAAAUCAGUUAUGGUUCCUUUGAUCGCUCACCCGCUACUUGGAUAACUGUGGCAAUUCUAGAGCUAAUACAUGCAAACGAGCGCUGACCUUCGGGGAUGCGUGCAUUUAUCAGACUUAAAACCCGCGCGGGGUGCUGCCGCGUGGUGGCCCCCGGCCUGUUUGGUGACUCUAGAUAACCUUGGGCCGAUCGCUCGCCCUCGCGGCGGCGACGACUCAUUCGAAUGUCUGCCCUAUCAACUUUCGAUGGUACUCUAUGUGCCUACCAUGGUGACCACGGGUAACGGGGAAUCAGGGUUCGAUUCCGGAGAGGGAGCCUGAGAAAUGGCUACCACAUCCAAGGAAGGCAGCAGGCGCGCAAAUUACCCAUUCACGACACGUGGAGGUAGUGACGAAAAAU
rnacentral:rRNA from 1 species